rnacentral:misc_RNA from 1 species
AUGCACUUGAUAAAGUUCAACUAAUUAAGGUGGAAAUGCAAACUCAGACAUGCAUGCAUACACUUUCUCCGAAAUUAUAGCAAAGCAGUGAUGCAAGGGAUAUUACAGAUGCAGCUUAAAGCAAUAAAUUUAAUUACUGUUGAGCAGUGGUUGACAAUCACACACUAACACAUAGAAAUUCACUUUCCACGCUACAUUAUUGCAAUCCUACUUUACUACAUUUUUGUACAAGUUGUCAA